rnacentral:rRNA from 1 species
AGAGCGAACGCUGGCGGCAGGCCUAACACAUGCAAGUCGAGCGCCCCGCAAGGGGAGCGGCAGACGGGAGAGUAACACGUGGGAACGUACCCUUCAGUUCGGAACAACCCAGGGAAACUUGGGCUAAUACCGAAUACGUCCGUAAGGAGAAAGAUUUAUCGCUGAAGGAUCGGCCCGCGUCUGAUUAGCUAGUUGGUGAGGUAACGGCUCACCAAGGCUACGAUCAGUAGCUGGUCUGAGAGGAUGAUCAGCCUCACUGGGACUGAGACACGGCCCAGACUCCUACGGGAGGCAGCAGUGGGGAAUAUUGGACAAUGGGCGCAAGCCUGAUCCAGCCAUGCCGCGUGGAUGAUGAAGGCCUUAGGGUUGUAAAGUCCUUUCGACGGGGAAGAUAAUGACGGUACCCGUAGAAGAAGCCCCGGCUAACUUCGUGCCAGCAGCCGC